AUGGACGGCGGCGGUGGCAGCGCCCCAUCCGACGGGGUGCCUGAUCUGCGCGGAGAUGGUGGCGGCGGCGACUGCGGAUCCAACGCCCCGAUCGGAUCCGCCGCGAGGUGGCCUUCCGCCGACCGGCGGCGCGUGGAGGGACAGGUGAGGAGAUGUCGGAUCUCCGCCGGUUUACCGACGGCGACGUUCGUCUUCGUGGCGAGACUCCACUCGGUACGCACGCCGCACGCCGCACGCCGCACGCCUCUCGUUUCCUCCAAUUUGUUUCCCAACCCGGCAACUCUUUCGAUCUCGUCUCCUCGCCUCUCCAUUGCAGCGGCAAGCCGGCAACAGCAGGUCGGCCGGCGGCAGCGGCUGACAAUUGAUGUCCAAAUUGAAGUUGACGAGAUAAUGCUGCAGGCACUUUAUGGCCACUCAAUAUACAAGCUGGGAGUGAUGCACUUGCAACUAAAGGUUGGAGCAAUUGGAACAAAAAAAAGGCGACAAAAUACCCAUGUGGGUAAAGUCGCGGUAAGGGCGCCUCCUCGCCUAUGCCAUGUGGAUUUUACUGUGUCGAAGAGAAAAGUUAAAAACGCAAGCCCUCUCGUCUCCUGUCUCGCUAGCUCUCUCUCCUCUUGCAACCCCUCGCCGCCGCCGCCACCACCCAUGCCGGCCGAUUCCGGUGAGUCCCGGCGGCGGGUGGCACACCAAAGACCACCCCUCUCACCGCUCCUUCCUCCCAUCCGUCCAAAUCCGUCACGAGAGGUUUUCCGCGCUCGCUCCCGACCCUCAGCCAUAGCUAGGGUUUCGACGCAGCGUCCCCUUCGUCGCCGGCGAGGCUCUGGCGGCCUCCGACGGCUCAUCUCAGUCCCCUUCGUCGCCCCACCGCGUGGCUCCGCCUCAUGGACGGUCCUCCCACGCCCGAUGGCCAUGAGGUGCACGCGAUUUGGUGCAGCAGCCUCUUGUCUCCAUAGACGAGGAGGGCGACCGGGACCCAAGCGCAAGACGAUGAGAGCACGGUCGUCGGGCACCGGCACACCGGCAGCGCGCGCAUGGGCCUCCUCGCCGCGGCCUCGGACUGGAAGAAUUCAUGGACGGUCUAACCAUCUCAGAAAAUCUAGAUGUUCAGACUUCAGAAUGCUUGGUGCUCCUCUUUGUGCGUGCUUGGUGCUUGCUCCUGUAGUGAUUGAUAGUUCUGUGCUUGCUCAUGUCGUGAACAUCAUCAGGUCGCCGGCUUCCUCUACGACUUGCUGGCCUCGUUGGUGGACAGAGGGGUCGGCUGCCACUCGCGGCUCUGAAUUGCAGGACUCGCUGGAUGGAUGCGAGUGUGAGCAACCAAGCUAUAUCAGCUGUGUGACGAGAGGUCAGAGCGACGAAUUUGAAGCUGUUAUUCCCUUGCUAUACCAUUCUCCACAACACAAAAUAUACCUUAUAGAACAAGCCAUGCUGUUCGAAAUGCUGGCACAAAUUGCUUCUGAUAAAGAAGUUGACGAGCUUCUCAUGAAGCUGCCACGUCGAUUACGAGAUGCACUUCUACCCUUCCAACUUGAAGGUGUCAAAUUUGGGCUUCGGAGGCAAGGGCGCUGCCUUAUUACAGAUGAGAUGGGCUUGGCAAGACUAACCAGUGUAUCUAAUUUGAUCCUGAAUGCUUGUGAAGUUACAACGAUCUCAAUAUUUAUUUUCAUCAAGUUUGAAUUGCCUGCCUACCACAUGUGCCAUGUGAUGGACCCAGAUCACUCAAAUAAAAAAAAGAUAGAUUUGACGCCGCUGCCGUGGUCGUCUUCGAUGCCGUCGCCGUCCUCCUCUUCGUCAUGCAUGGUGAGGUCGAUGUACGGUGGUGGCUUUCAUAGGUGGGCAGGCUGCCCCUGCAGCGGCUGCAAGGCCGGAGGCGCCUGCAACACCUCUUCCAGUGGCGGGAACGGCGCCCACCCACACGGGCGGCACGGACGUGUUCCGGCGUGCACGGCACCAUGUCCGUCCACGUCCAGGACUGGCCCACCAAUGCCACGAAGGGUGCUCAUCGUCGGCCCCUCCUUGACCUCCUCCAUGACCUCCUCCUUGACCUACAACUCCGGGGGGAUGGCGACGUCGCAUGCGGCGGAGAGGGCCAGCAUCUCGUCAAGGCCCUCCCAUUGGGCACGUCCAUGUCUUGGCCUCUUUUUGAUGUCUGCGUUAUCUUCCCGCAGUAGCACUGAAUCGAACGGGGAAUUCCGGCAACUUUGCAGGUGUCUGGUAAGCACCGGAGGGAUGGUCUGUGUGGCACACAAAACACAGUGCAACGAGGGGCUGCAUAUCAUCAGGUCGAGGGCUACAGUCGGCAUGGAUAGGGCUCGUCAUGCUGCGCCGUUCUCCCGACCUCCUUCCCAUCACAGCGUGAUGGGAAUCACUGGCUUACAAGGAGGAGUAGCAGCCGUGCCUGGAAGGCGUGGAGCAGGGGGCGGUGAAGGUCCUGAUCAGGUGCUCUGGUCGCGCAAGGGGAGCGCGGCGCACAACCUCCGCCUGCUGAAGACGAUGUGGCAGUGCGGUGUGGGCCUUGACGGCAAGCGCAACGACCAGCUGGACUACGGCAACAGGGAAUUCUCCAUCGACGAGACGCCAGCGUUCCGGUUCUGCAUUGCGCCCUCCGUCCUGGACACCCCUGGUGUCUACAACGACGACCACUACUUCUUCUACGAUGCCCGUUAG
rnacentral:rRNA from 1 species